rnacentral:rRNA from 1 species
GACGAACGCUGGCGGCGUGCUUAACACAUGCAAGUCGAGCGGUAAGGCCCUUUCGGGGGUACACGAGCGGCGAACGGGUGAGUAACACGUGGGUGACCUGCCCUCAGCUCUGGGAUAAGCCUGGGAAACCGGGUCUAAUACUGGAUAUGACUCCAUGACGCAUGUUGUGGGGUGGAAAGCCUUGUGCGGCUGAGGAUGGGCCCGCGGCCUAUCAGCUUGUUGGUGGGGUGAGGCCUACCAAGGCGACGACGGGUAGCCGGCCUGAGAGGGCGACCGGCCACACUGGGACUGAGACACGGCCCAGACUCCUACGGGAGGCAGCAGGUGGGGAAUCUUGCGCAAGUGGGCGAAAGCCUGACGCAGCGACGCCGCGUGAGGGAUGACGGCCU